rnacentral:lncRNA from 1 species
GAUUUUCAAGAACCUGGGACUUUGCACUGAAGCCCUUUUUUAACUCAGAAGCCCAUCUUGAUGAUCCUGUGGUCUGGAGGUCUGAGCUGGCCUGUGCCAGGCAGGAUCAGCUUACAGAUGGCUUUGCAGAGCUCAUUUUGGAGUGUCACCCAGCUUGUUAGUCCAUGGUGGGCCUGUCAGAGCCCUUGGGACCAGUGCUAUGGAGGGAAGAAAGUGUGCCUGAGUAUCCACAGAUGCACAGAUGUAAUCCAAUUGCAUGAAUGCUGGAGCUAUUUGAAAUACCCUGGGGUGUCCCCUGGGCUUUCCCCUUCCAGCCUAGGUGGACAGGGGUCUUCUGUGGGGCCAAGGUCCCCCUGCAGUCCUCUGCAGAGCCUCAAAAGGCACCAGAUGCUUCCCUGCAGGCUGCUGAGGAAGAGUUAUGCGUGGAGGUCAGGGCGAGCUGGGGAGCUGUGACUGCCUUAAAUCAAGCAAUUCUUUGCAGCUGUCAGGUUGACGCUUUAACGUCACACCAAGGGCUGCUCCUCAAGCGUGGAUAUGCAGGUUUUUGGUGUUUUUUGUUUUUUGUUUUUUGCUUUUUCAGUGCAAGGAUAUUUCCAGCCUGUGCUCACCCGCUGCCUGCAGCAAGGAAGGAAGCACCUGCAGAGCUUUUUCUGCCUCGACUCAGACCCGUGGAGAUGGCAUAG